rnacentral:rRNA from 1 species
UCAACUCGUGGACAGUAAGUGGGGUAAAGAGGGAGAGUGAAAGCUAUUACCGGGUGAACUUGGGUUAAAGUGUGCGUAGUCGGACAUGGAAGGAAUUGGGGAAAUCUCUUGUCGUAACUCAGAAACUGCCUUUUAUACUAUUUGUCUUGAAUAUCAUGUAGGUAAGCGGAAUAUGUCAUGUAGCGGUGAAAUGCUUAGAUAUGACAUAGAACACCGAUAGCGAAGGCAGCUUACUACAUGAUGAUUGACGCUGAGGCACGAAAGCGUGGGGAGCAAACAGGAUUAGAUACCCGGGUAGUC